rnacentral:misc_RNA from 1 species
GAUGAAGAACGUAGUGAAAUGCGAUAAGUAGUGUGAAUUGCAGAAUUCAGUGAAUCAUCGAAUCUUUGAACGCACAUUGCGCCCCAUGGUAUUCCGUGGGGCAUGCCUGUUCGAGCGUCAUUUACCCCCUCAAGCUCCGCUUGGUGUUGGGCGUCUGUCCCGCUUCGCGCGCGGACUCGCCCCAAAGGUAUUGGCAGCGGUCGUGCCAGCUUCUCGCGCAGCACAUUGCGCUUCUCGAGGCACCGGUGGGCCCGCGUCCAUCAAGCUCACCCCCCCAGUUUGACCUCGGAUCAGGUAGGAAUACCCGCUGAACUUAAGCAUAUCAAUAAGCGGAGGA